UGUGAUUUUUAAUCGAAAUUUUGGAAUUUCAUUUUUUUUAAUCAAAGCCAUAAAUUGUGAUUAGCGAUUGUGGAUUAAGGAAUUUUGGGGGCUCAGGGUCAGGGUCAAGGUCAGGCUCAGGGAGGUGCCGAAGGUGGCGGAGCGGCUGCCGGAGCUCUGAGUACCGAUGAUUGGAGGACUCAACUUUUUUCCGACUCGCGUCAAAGGAUUGUCAACAAGAUACCUUGAAGCAACAUCUUCCUAUUUCUGGGCAAGAAGAAGUACACGAGCUUAAGAAAAUUGCUAUGAGCUUUGAAGAAAAGGUCUAUUCUGCUGCUACAAUGAGAUUAUCUUCGAAAGAUAUCUUUAGAGAUGGUGACCAUGAAGACAAAAUCUCAAAAUCCUAUGACCAAUUCUAUUAAGCCAAAUCUUAUAAGUAAUGGUCAGAAUGCCCUUGGUCCAGGUGAGUUUACAGAAUUUCGGUGUGGACUUAAAAUGAAUGGGAAUAAUUGGAAGGCUCAAGUUCAAAGAGAUGGUGAAUGUGGCAGUGGUUGCCGGAGCUCUGAAUUUCGAUGAUUGGAAGACUCAACUUUUUCCCGAUUUGCGUCAAAAGAUUGUCAUGUGGGAAUGUGAAACACGAUUCAAUAAAGUCGUGUUGGCUCAUGGCACCUGAUCCAAAUAUAUUAUAUUGGCUCGUGGCACCCGAUCAAACAAUAUAGUUAAAUCAUUAACAAUACUUUAUCAAACCUUGUUUAUUCAAUGCAUCACUUUGAUAGGAUAAUUUUAAAUUAUGGAUUUCGCGA